rnacentral:rRNA from 1 species
GACGGGGGGGCAAGCGUUGUUCGGAAUUAUUGGGCGUAAAGCGCGUGUAGGCGGCUUGCAAGUCGGGUGUGAAAGCCCUCAGCUCAACUGAGGAAGUGCGCCCGAAACUGGCAGAGCUUGAGUGCCGGAGAGGGUGGCGGAAGUUCCCCAAGUAGAGGUGAAAUUCGUAGAUAUGGGGAGGAACACCGGUGGCGAAGGCGGCCGCCUGG